AGAAACGAUGGGGAUGGGGUCCCCCGACAACCGCCGCACUGGACAGGCUGAUGACUCCUGCCGAUAC
rnacentral:ncRNA from 17 species